CUACAUCUAAUGUAGUUAUCAUCAACAUAGCCACAAAACGGAGUCACUCAUUGGCUUCUUGUCCCUCAGAUUCAGUAGCGGGUUACUCCUGAACUCCUGGCAGCCACGUUGGAUUCCACAUCGAAGCGGCAGGGACCGUUUCGUCCUUGAUGCUGCAGGAAGAAAAUGAGUGUGGUGCUACGGUCUGGCUAACUCGCCCUCCAAAACAAAGCAUAGAGCAGGUAACAGAGAUUCUCUUGUCUACUUCUGUCCCGCAGCCAAACAUUUCUCCCACUUGUGAGCAGGAGUACCUUGAUAGUGGCUGGGCGGGUUUUCACAAAAACUGGACCGGCGUGUUUUUUUUUUUUAAACACUUCCUGAAUUACCGGGCCGUCUAAACUAUGCAAACAAUGCAUGUUGGUGAGUACAUGCGUGAUUGAGCAUGCUUGUCAUUCAUCUGUUUUGGUUUCGCCAACAUGGCCGUGACCCACAUGACUGAGGUGCCUUUACAACACGCUAUCUCCAAAUGUUACAUAUUAUCUACGUUGCACAAGAAACGGCUAAGAAGCACGUCAUAUUUUGCUUUGGAGGGAAGGAGAUGAACAGCACUUCAAAGUGGAAGUAAAAAUAAACAAUGCUUCAAUAGACACACACACACACACACACACGCACACACACACACACAUGAGUGAGGAGACUCCGACUCCUAUAAGAACAGCCACAUUGCAAGACUUUACCUGUACCAAUUUCGUUAUUCGUUUGAUGUACAUUCUUCACAAUGAGCUGUAUUUUAGUUUUUACAUGAUCUUUAGCACUCUUCUAUUACGUACGUGUCUACUUUCCUUCACUGCAUUACCUACUGUCAUUUGUUCAAGUAUUAUGACACCAUAGCAAAGACAAAUUACUGCUUAUUUUUCAAUGCAGUCUGUCCCAAAAGUCACAAUAUUGUCCAUUUCCUUUUUUCCAUUUCAUUCUAGUAAUCAGUCGGACAGACGUAAGACCGUUCGCAUUUGACAGUUUCGGGUUUGAAGUUCCCGACUGCAGUUUAGCAUAAGUUUGAGAAGCAGGUAAUACAAUGAAUGCUAUCCGUGGCAAGCGUCUGGAAAAACGGAUAGGUUUCACCAAACUCCUCGGAAAGGCGGUCAUGCAAAGCGAGGGAAAGUUUAUCCAGAGGGCUGUGCUGGACGACAGCACCAACUAAAAUCUCAAUUCUGCGGAUGCCUCGGAGAUUGAGAAAGCUUUACCCACACCGACUGCAGGUCGUUGAAUGUCAUAAUCUUCCACUUGAAGCCUCAAAGCUUCUCAAACUGGCACUAAACUGCAGUCAGGAACAGAAAAAACUUCUUGCCAGCAGAGAAUUUUGCAACGCUGCUCCAAUGAGCCAUGGCCAGGGGAAUGAUAUGCUUACAAAAACUGCAAAGCCUAAGCUGUCAAGUGCUGAUGCUCUCACUUCUGUCUGAAUGAUACCUGAAAUGAAAAGGGAAGAAGUUGUCGUGACCUUCGGGACAUCCAGAAUGGCUGACCAAAAUAAUUCAGGUCAGUUAUUCUCUGUAUGAUACUUUCACAUAUUUUUAUGCCAUGUUUGUUGCCAUGCCAUGCAUGUUUGCCAAUUUGUUAAAAUUUGGAGGAAUGAGAAGUAGCAAUACAUGAUUACUAUUGUAGUACUAGUAGUCUUGUUUUGUCACUACAACUGGAUGUUAAACAAAGCUUCAGUUUCACAAUUACCUGAAAUCAUACUUUUACCUACCCUGCUCACCAAAAAUAUUGAAACAGUGAGCCUGAUUCCUUUAUUACCGUUGACUGAAAACAUAUGGGCUUUCGCAUUUUCUGAUUAACUUUAAAUAGUACCAAGGUUGUCUCCCAAAAAAAAAAGAAAAAAAAUCUGAAACUGAGCAUAGAAAGAUCACUGUGAUAGGACCCGGGUAACAAAACUCACCCCUUUGUGUGAAAAAUGAGUGGGCUGAAACACAAGGUGCUAUCUCCCAAGUUGGGUUGUGGUGCGGCUUCCAAAAGGGAAAUAAAAGCUUCAACUUGUA